CUGGAUAUCGCCUAGUGGUAUGGCACCUCGUUUGGGACGAGGAAUAAUGGGGGUUCGAUUCCCUUUAUCUAGA
rnacentral:tRNA from 1 species